GACUCCAUUUUAUUGUUGUGGCAACAGAUCAAGAAGAAAUGAAGCGUGCACAAGAAGAAAUGAGAAAUCAAGGAGUUCCAUCUUUGGCAAGCCUGUUACCUGGUGCUGCAAGAAGCAACUAGGUCUAUGAUUAAUAGGGAGCUGAACAUGUGCCAUACACAAUAUCUGGAGGAUUUUAUUAUGGACUGGUGCUGAUAGAAAUUUUGAUUAUUUAUGUUCCAUUGGAAAUUUCUGAUAGAAAUGUUAGCAUGUUUUAUUUGAAUACUCAGGAUUAGACAUCCAUGUAACUCCGCCCACAUUCUCAUAAACGCCGACAACGUAAUUGAAAAGAAAGUUCGGGAUUAAAACGAAGAAAAAAACAGUAAAAUGUAGAGAAAUUUUCCAAAAUAAUAAUUAUUUAUUGGAUGGAGAACGUAUUUAAACCUUUACUUUGGGUAUGAAAAUAGGUUGCAUUUAAGGUGCAAAGUGCAAACCUUGUUUGGUGUCUAAGAUUUUGAAUCUGAAACCAACAGAUGUUAAAUUGUUAAUACAUGCAUUGAAUUUUACAUCAGUUCACUUAGUAAAAAACGUAUUACAUUUAUAAUAUUAAUUAAUAUAUAUGUUUGAUAAAUACUACAAUAUAUUACUUAAAACUUAGUAAACUAACAGAAAAGUCAAUACUCAAAUUCAGUAGAAGAAAGGUUAAAUAACUCAUUAAACUUUAGUCAACAAGCAUUUCCAAUCAACACCCACAUGAUCACGAUGAAAGAGAAUCCAUUUUUACUGUCUAUAAAAAAUGUUUUUUCUGAAGAUAAACUAUACCACCCACUCAAUAAUCUAUUAUUUUUGAAAGGAUCAAUUUCCAAUUGUUGGACUGUAGUGAAUAGAACCGGUAUACGCACUUUUAUUAGAUAACCAAAUACAAAUGAACUUCGUAGGUUAUCGUGCAUAUGAGAUACUAUGUUGCAUGAGGGGCUAUGAGCUACCACCUACUACACCGUCAAUCAGACUCGGCCAACUAUCUCGAGUUUCAUAAAGGCAUCACUUGUAAAGAGAAAAACUAUGAUAUAUGUCACCUUUCUCCACUUGUAAAUUGGUUAUGGAUAAGAAAACUAUAUGAGAUAUGUCACCUUCAUACAUGGAUAAGAGGAUUUGUAAGCUAAUUUGUUAAGAAGAUUUAUAAUUUUCUAUAUAUAAAAAACGUGCAUGUAAUAUGAUAGAGAAACUAUGGGUGGUCCCAACUACCGAGGUUCACUAUCUCUUUUUGUUUUGCCAAACGACUUAAUCCCUUUCCAUAAAGGAAUGAUCAAAUUACAAAUUUACUCUUACUCAACUUUUUAUAUCCAUCCAACCGUUGAAUUAUAACUGUAUCCCAUUUUAAUUGUUUAUCUUAAAUUGGAGAAAAUUUGAACAUCAAUUAACAUAUAAUUAAUAAUUACGAGAAAUUGAUAAUUUUCACAGCUAAUGUUAUUUUUUGAAUUCUAAGAUAUUCAAUGGCUUAAUCAAUUCCAUAAUAUUCAAUCCUUCUUUUGGUUUCACAUGAUAUCCUCUCCCCCAAUAAGGUAAACAAAACAGUACGGAAAAAUGAAAUCGCUGCAACCAAAAGGCAGAGAAUCCGUAUGAAACUGGGUAGUCCUAUAAUAAAUUGUGUCACUGCAUGCAGCAUCGGCUGUGAUUGAUCAGAAAAUAAUUAAUUACUAAUUUUUGGACUUAAAAAUAUUUUUUAACCGAUCAUAGGUUGAUGAUACAUACAGUUACGCAACUUAAGGGACGGCAGAUGUCCUCCAUGUGAAACUAGGCAAAGACAUCUCAACAGCAUCAAAUAGAUGAUACUAGAAAACAGGCACCUACCAUUUUCUAUUGGUCAAUGUUAUUCAGACUAACCAAUAUCGAUCCCUUUCAAGUUUUUCUGUAAUAAGAAAGAUCACUAUGGUUCAGUAUCCACCGAACAUGGUAUAGAUGAAAAUCACUAAAACUCCUGUUGCAAUCUUUUCUACCACAAGUAGAAAUGUUCUAAUAAUCUGAAAUAAACUCUCAAUAAUGUUCUGAAUACAGACAAAUCACGAUUUCAACUUUGCAAUUCAUGUAGGGGUGAGUUCAGACUUGGGAACAGACUUUGUAUUUUCAUGGCUACAAUUUUAUUCCAAAAAAAAAAUUAAAAACCAUAACAACAGGAAACAUCUAUAGUCUACCAUAAUUUCAGUUUAAAACAUAAAUUUUGAAAAAAUUGAAUGCUACUGGAAUAACUUUUGAAGGUGUAGUAAGUAUAUGUAUGGUCUUACUUACCUGACAUAGAAUGGACGAAAAAUGUGAAGAUAAUAGAAGCAUUAAUCAUGCCUCCAAAGAAUUCCAAAUGCAAACUAUAGAUGUUUCCGGUUGUAUAGAUCUAUAAAGCAGCAUAUUAUGAUACACAAUGCAUAGUUUAUGCUGAUGACUCCAUUUUAUUGUUGUGGCAACAGAUCAAGAAGAAAUGAAGCGUGCACAAGAAGAAAUGAGAAAUCAAGGAGUUCCAUCUUUGGCAAGCCUGUUACCUGGUGCUGCAAGAAGCAACUAGGUCUAUGAUUAAUAGGGAGCUGAACAUGUGCCAUACACAAUAUCUGGAGGAUUUUAUUAUGGACUGGUGCUGAUAGAAAUUUUGAUUAUUUAUGUUCCAUUGGAAAUUUCUGAUAGAAAUGUUAGCAUGUUUUAUUUGAAUACUCAGGAUUAGACAUCCAUGUAACUCCGCCCACAUUCUCAUAAACGCCGACAACGUAAUUGAAAAGAAAGUUCGGGAUUAAAACGAAGAAAAAAACAGUAAAAUGUAGAGAAAUUUUCCAAAAUAAUAAUUAUUUAUUGGAUGGAGAACGUAUUUAAAC
rnacentral:lncRNA from 1 species